UACGUGAGGGGCAAGCGUUGCUCGGAAUUAUUGGGCGUAAAGGGCGCGUAGGCGGCUCGGCACGUCCGUUGUGAAAUCGCCCGGCUCAACUGGGCGGGGUCAGCGGAUACGGUCGAGCUUGAGCAAGCUAGGGGGCAAUGGAAUUCCCGGUGUAGUGGUGGAAUGCGUAGAUAUCGGGAGGAACACCAGUGGCGAAGGCGGUUGCCUGGGGCUUUGCUGACGCUGAUGCGCGAAAGCGUGGGGAGCGAUCCGG
rnacentral:rRNA from 1 species